rnacentral:rRNA from 1 species
AUGGACCUCAGGGCGCUGUACAUGUACGCCGCCGUCCUAGCCCUGCUCCUCUGCUCCGCGGCGACCUUCAUCCAGAGCCCCACCGACGUGUUCGGCCCGGUGGCGCUCCUCGAGCCGACCCCGUCCUCGGCGCGCGACUUCGGCGCCGUCGUCUCCGACGCGCCCUUCGCGAUCCUUCGGCCGGGGUCCUCCGCCGACAUCGCGCUCCUCCUGGGCGCGCUGUCGUCCGCACCGCCGCGCCCGAGAGCGACCGUGGCUGCGCGCGGCGUGGGGCACUCGCUCCAGGGCCAGGCGCAGGCGCGCGACGGCAUUGUGGUGGAGACGCGUUCCCUGCCACGCAGCGUGGCGGUGGUCGUGGCGGCGCGGGCGGGCGGCGAGGCCACCGCGCGCGCGUACGCGGACGUGGGCGCCGGCGCUCUGUGGGUGGAGGUACUGGAGGAGUGCCUGAAGGCCGGCCUGGCGCCGCUGUCCUGGACGGACUACUUGUACCUCACCGUGGGCGGGACGCUGUCCAAUGCCGGCAUCAGCGGCCAGGCGUUCAAGCAUGGCCCGCAGAUCAGCAACGUCCUGCAGCUCCAAGUCGUCACAGGGAAUGGGGAGGUCGUGACAUGCUCACGCACCAAGAGCCCGGAUCUCUUCUUCGCAGUUCUUGGUGGUCUUGGCCAGUUCGGCAUCAUCACCAGGGCAAGGAUUCUACUCCAAGAAGCUCCUCCAAAGGUGCGAUGGGUGAGGGCCUUCUACGACAGCUUCGAAACAUUCACGAAGGACCAAGAGCUUCUGAUCUCAAUGCCGGAGCAGGUGGACUACGUGGAGGGGUUCAUGGUUCUGGAUGAGCACUCCAUCCACAGCUCAUCCAUUGCCUUCCCCGCUCGCAUCGAUUUCAGCCCAGACUUCGGCUCCAAUGGCAAGAGGAAGGUCUACUACUGCAUAGAGUUUGCAGUGCAUGACUUCGGCUCCAGUGUCGACAAUGUUGUGGAGCUGGUGGCAGGGAAGAUGAGCCACAUGAGGCCCCACAUGUACAGUGUGGAGGUGUCCUACUUCGACUUCCUGAACAGGGUGAGGAUGGAGGAGGAGAGCCUGAGGAGCCAGGGGCUCUGGGACGUGCCUCACCCCUGGCUCAACAUGUUCGUGCCCAAGCAUGGCGUCGCUCAGCUCAAGGACCUGCUCAUGGACACCGUCUUGGCAGGAUACUUCCAGGGGGCCAUCCUUGUCUACCCUCUCCUCACUGACAAGUGGGACAGGAACACGUCGGCGGUCAUCCCGUCGGCGCCGGACGGGGUGAUGUACAUCUUCAGCGUGCUCCGGUCGGCCGACCCGUCGCGGUGCGGCCGCGGCUGCGUCGAGGAGAUCCUGGAGCAGCACCGCCGGGUGGCCGACGAGGCGUGCCGGGUCGGCGGCGGCAUCGGCGCCAAGCAGUACCUUGCCCGGCAGCCCACGCAGGCGCAUUGGCGCAGCCAUUUCGGGCCCAGCUGGGACCGCUUCCUGGCCCGCAAGGCCCGGUACGACCCAGUGCGUGUGCUUGGGCCGGGCCAAGGCAUUUUUCCUUGGACGGAUUCCGCGAGCUCCAUGUGA